UGGGGAAUAUUGCGCAAUGGGGGGAACCCUGACGCAGCCAUGCCGCGUGAAUGAAGAAGGCCUUAGGGUUGUAAAGUUCUUUCGGUAUUGAGGAAGGUUGAUGUGUUAAUAGUACAUCAAAUUGACGUUAAAUACAGAAGAAGCACCGGCUAACUCCGUGCCAGCAGCCGCGGUAAUACGGAGGGUGCGAGCGUUAAUCGGAAUAACUGGGCGUAAAGGGCACGCAGGCGGUUAUUUAAGUGAGGUGUGAAAGCCCCGGGCUUAACCUGGGAAUUGCAUUUCAGACUGGGUAACUAGAGUACUUUAGGGAGGGGUAGAAUUCCACGUGCAGCGGUGAAAUGCGUAGAGAUGUGGAGGAAUACCGAAGGCGAAGGCAGCCCCUUGGGAAUGUACUGACGCUCAUGUGCGAAAGCGUGGGGAGCAAACAGGAUUAGAUACCCUGGUAGUCCACGCUGUAAACGCUGUCGAUUUGGGGGUUGGGGUUUAACUCUGGCGCCCGUAGCUAACGUGAUAAAUCGACCGCCUGGGGAGUACGGCCGCAAGGUUA
rnacentral:rRNA from 1 species